CGGUCCUGAGUAAAGUGGCGCACGGGUGAGUAACGCGUAGAUAACCUGUCUUCAUGUCUGGAAUAAUACGCCGAAAGGGGUACUAAUACCGGAUAUUCUUGCUUUUCAUAAGUUAUGCAAGCAAAGGUGGCCUCUGCAUAUGCUACUGCAUGAAGAGGGGUCUGCGUACCAUUAGCUAGUAGGUGGGGUAAUGGCCUACCUAGGCGACGAUGGUUAGCGGGUCUGAGAGGGAUGAUCCGCCACACUGGCACUGGAACACGGGCCAGACUCCUACGGGAGGCAGCAGUGAGGAAUAUUGCGCAAUGGGGGAAACCCUGACGCAGCGACGCCGCGUGAGUGAAGGAAGGCCUUCGGGUCGUAAAGCUCUGUCAAGAGGAAAGAAGUGUACAAUGGCUAAUACCUGUUGUAUUUGACGGUACCUCUAAAGGAAGCACCGGCUAACUCCGUGCCAGCCGCAGC
rnacentral:rRNA from 1 species